rnacentral:rRNA from 1 species
UACGUAGGGGGCGAGCGUUGUCCGAAUUCACUGGGCGUAAAGCGCGCGUAGGCGGACCUUUAAGUUGGGGGUGAAAUGCCGAGGCUCAACCUCGGAACUGCCUUCAAAACUGGGGGUCUUGAGGUAUGGAGAGGGAAGUGGAAUUCCAGGUGUAGCGGUGAAAUGCGUAGAUAUCUGGAGGAACACCUGUGGCGAAGGCGGCUUCCUGGUCAUAUCCUGACGCUGAGGUGCGAAAGCCAGGGGAGCGAACGGG